AUUGAACGCUGGCGGCAGGCCUAACACAUGCAAGUCGAACGAGUGGCGGACGGGUGAGUAAUGUCUGGGAAACUGCCUGAUGGAGGGGGAUAACUACUGGAAACGGUAACUAGUACCGCAUACCAUCGGAUGAGCCCAUAUGGGAUUAGCUAGUAGGUGGGGGAACGGCUAACCUAGGCGACGAUCCCUAGCUGGUCUGAGAGGAUGACCAGCCACACGGGAACUGAGCCACGGUCCAGACUCCUAAGGGAGGCAGCAGUGGUGAAUCUUGCACAAUGGGCGCAAGCCUGAUGCAGCCAUGCCGCGUGUAUGAAGAAGGCCUUCGGGUUGUAAAGUACUUUCAGCGGGGAGGCGUGACCCGCAGAAGAAGCACCGGCUAACUCCGUGCCAGCCGCCGCGGUAAUAC
rnacentral:rRNA from 1 species